GUCUCCAGAUAAAAUGAUUCGACGCAUCAACGGCACGCCAAAGCCGACGAACCGCAGCGAGGAAAGAUGAAGUCGCUCGUACUCCUGUGCCUUGCGGUGACGGCCUUCACUUGUCGCUCGGUUGAAGCGGCCGAUUGUCCCGAUGGCAGUUCCUGUGACGAUUCUCAAACGUGUUGCAUACUGAGGAAUGGGACCUAUGGCUGUUGCCAGUAUGCGGACGCAGUCUGCUGCUGCGAUAAAACGCAUUGUUGUCCCAGUGACUACGUUUGUGACAUAUCGACCUCGUCUUGUCGUCAGGGGAACAGAUCGAUGAAAUGGGCUGAAAAAGUUCCAGCUCUUCGAUGAAGUCAUCACGAU